rnacentral:rRNA from 1 species
UGGGGAAUUUUGGACAAUGGGCGAAAGCCUGAUCCAGCAAUGCCGCGUGUGUGAAGAAGGCCUUCGGGUUGUAAAGCACUUUUGUCCGGAAAGAAAUCCGCCUGGUUAAUACCCGGGCGGGAUGACGGUACCGGAAGAAUAAGCACCGGCUAACUACGUGCCAGCAGCCGCGGUAAUACGUAGGGUGCGAGCGUUAAUCGGAAUUACUGGGCGUAAAGCGUGCGCAGGCGGCUUUGUAAGACAGAUGUGAAAUCCCCGGGCUCAACCUGGGAACUGCAUUUGUGACUGCAAGGCUGGAGUGCGUCAGAGGGAGGUGGAAUUCCGCGUGUAGCAGUGAAAUGCGUAGAGAUGCGGAGGAACACCGAUGGCGAAGGCAGCCUCCUGGGAUGACACUGACGCUCAUGCACGAAAGCGUGGGGAGCAAACAGGAUUAGAAACCCCUGUAG